GCUUGUAUCAGCCAUACGUGCUUUAUGUUUUAAACUACAUUACACUAAAGGAUGAAUAAGUUGAUAUCUUAUUAUUUUUCUAAAUAGUUUCUUGAAUAUCAAAGACUACUACACAUGUAGUUUCUCCUGAUAUGUUAUUUCCUUAAAAUUACAAAAAGUUUAUUUUCAAAUGUCUGAAACAUGUAGUUUCUGGCGGAAUUGCUCAGCUAAGUUUCUAUCACAGAGUGCAAAUUUAAAAUAAUAGGAACAAAAAGCUAAAGCCCAAAAACUGCAAUAACAUUUUUUAAAUGAUAAUAAACAAUCCCACCACAGGGUAAUGGUCUAAUAUCAAUAAUAAAUAAUCGUGCUACAAUAUAAUGGUAAAAA
rnacentral:lncRNA from 1 species